UGCAGCUUGCUGGUUAGCCGAACUUCCUGC
rnacentral:piRNA from 1 species